rnacentral:rRNA from 1 species
GACGAACGCUGGCGGCGUCCCUAUUCCAUGAAGUUGGGGCGCUGAGGGUGGUUAUUUUUCCCACCGGAUUGGCCGGCAAACGGGUGAUUACGGCUUGGGGAUCCUCCCUUGAACCGGGGGCCAACAUUUGAAACGAAAUCUAAUUCCCCCUUAACUUUAAACACAAGUUUUAAGUUUGAAAAAUGCAAUUGUAUCACCCCAAGAUGAUCCCGCGUUGUAUUAGCUAGUUGGUGAGGUAAAGGCUCACCAAGGCGAUGAUACAUAGCCGACCUGAGAGGGUGAUCGGCCACAUUGGGACUGAGACACGGCCCAAACUCCUACGGGAGGCAGCAGUAGGGAAUCUUCGGCAAUAGACGAAAGUCUGACUGAGCAACGCCGCGUGAGUGAAGAAGGUUUUCGGAUCGUAAAACUCUGUUGGUAGAGAAGAACGUUGGUGAGAGUGGAAAGCUCAUCAAGUGACGGUAACUACCCAGAAAGGGACGGCUAACUACGUG